rnacentral:lncRNA from 1 species
UGUGCAUCCACGUGACUAUGGAGUUUGUGAUUAUAAUUAAACUUAUAGUUAAUGGUUUUUCACAACAUAAAGAACAGACGAUAAAGGAAUGCUUAAAAAUGUGUUGUAUAAUAAUUUCCUAAGAGGUUUUACAGCUUUCUGUACACUUCAACAAAAAUUAAUCUAGAAAUUGUAUGCAAAGGUUAAGAAUAGAACCCUCCGGCGUAAAGUCAUAUACCAGAGUAUAUGACGAGUAACAGCAAACAGUAGCUGCUGUAGCUCAGACGUUACGACUACAUUAUGUACUGGAACAAGUAAUAGGUUUAUUCCAUGCUGAAAAGAGAAGAAAACGAAACGUUUCGGCCGUGGAGCCUUCUUCAGGUGUCAAUUAUGUACGUUAUGUACUGUUUAAACUUUGUGUUCUUUACUGCUGUUGCACUGGAAAACUGGAAGUGCUUUUGGAUCAUCUCACCAUACAGAGGUGGAAGGGAACUAGUGCAACAAGCAAACAACUGGGAGUACUCCACACUGUCAAGUGCCCAAAGAUGGAACUGAACCCAGGGACCUGGACCUGUGAUGGAGGAAUAUUUACCUUUAUGUCCUAGAGAUGCAAAUAAAAUAGACAAAUGCAUCUGAAUGUAAAAGAGACAUAUGAACGAUUAGCAAAAUGCAUAUUUACAGUGGGUUAAAACGUCAGUAUUAAAUCACAAUCACACAAAUUAAGAGUAUUCUUAGAAAAACAACUACAUUUUGUGUGAAUUAUAUCACAGGUACUUACAAAGUAGAACAGACAAACACAGAGUAAGGGUCAUAUAGACAGAAAGACAAAGCCCAAGAGUAUUGACAUUCAUGUCCUUGGUUUGACAGCAUAAAAAUCAAAAUCACUGUUGGCACAAUAUAUCACCAACCAUGGGUGAAACUUGCAUAACUGAAGUUAAAUCAACAAGACCUGCUUCGUUGUUUAGUUUCAUACUUUGAACCUCUAUUAUUUAUAAAAGACAGAAACCUAGCAUAAAUUGAUUUAAACAUGCCUGUAUAUUCCUAAGUAGAACAAUAUAAAGCAUAUUUCCAGACUUUUUCAGUGCUGUUUUAACGCAUGUUACAUUAUGAAGACUGUUUACUUAAAGUCCGAGAUUAUACAGGUUAAUGUAUUUAAACAUAAGGGGUGUUUAUUAAAGCAUUUAUUAUUUUUUUUACUUCAGCUUUCCUAAGUUUUUGGACGUUCAUUCGAAACAAAUGUAUUUUGUUAAGAAGACAAACAUGGCAAAUUCAGUUUUGAUAAAUAUGUUUUUACGUACUGAAUUUCUUUUGAAAUACAUUCAUUCCGACCCAUUCCCUGAGGAGGCAUUUAAGGGAUUCAUUUAUACAGUACACACAAUAAAUGUAAUCUUUUAAUCGUUCCUGUAUUAUUAUUCUUUCAAAGUUUCUACUUUCUCGAUAUAUUUAUGCCAGGAAAGAAAAAUGUAUGUUGCCAUAUACAAUCCUCCAAAAUGACAGAAAACAUUGGAGUUUCAUUUUUGGAAAAGUUGGAAAAGUA